UAACCACAAGCAAAGUGAGUUUGGAAAAAAAGGGGAGAAAGGUUGUUCGUUCUAGGGUUCAGAGGGGUAUUCUUCGUCUCGAAAUUUCAAGGGUUAAAACCGUUGAUUCUUCCUCUCACAAAUGGUUCCGAUAUUUCAUCAGGUUCUUGAUACCUCUUCUAGUGGGUACAUAGAUGAUGAUCAGCUUGUUGUGAAUUUCAAGAAACAUGACCCUAAGUUUAAAUGGUCGGACAUCAUGGAAUCGUGGGAAUCACUUGUCGCUGGAUCAUCACAGCUUUUGAACGGAGAGAAAUCAAAAUUAGAGGAUGAUGCUCAAGUUCAAGCAUCAGCAGAUGCAUAACAUUCUAUAUCCUAGGAAGGAUCUAACUAGGAUUCAAUAUUCAGCUUCUGAAGACAGUUAAAUGUGAUGCAUAUGCUGAGUUGUUAAAGGUACUACCAGGUGUAGAUGCAGCCCAUGAUGUAGUUACAAAUCUAUUUUAAGUAUUACCUGGUGUAGAUGGAGCCCAUGAUGGCAACUUACUAUCCCAACAAUGUCACUACUGCUCUUAUUCAAUAGGUACGCAUUCACCUUCUGUUCAAACUCCAUUGAAUAGUCUUUAUUUGUCUUAUAUUUGCAUGUGACCCCAUAUGGCACCUUUUGUUGACUUCAUUUAAUUUUUUUCUUUUCUAUUUAGUCAAUAAUAUAUAGUUUAAUAUUAUAGAUGUAAUUUUUGUUUUGUUUUCUAGAUGAUCCUUGUUUAACUUUUGCAGAUUGGUAAGUUUGAUAGCCCUUAGUGGUUGACCAAAUAUUUAUGAUGUGAUAUUACUAAUUGAGUGCAAAUAGCAUGUUAAUAAAUAUAUAGAUUUGUUGAUGUUGGAACUACAAUGGUUCUUACUAAUUGCUUACUUUUUUGUUUAGAAAAACUAAAAUAUGUUCCCUCUAUUGCAAAAUGGACUUGAUACUAAGGUAGAAAAAAACCGAGAAAGCAAGUGAAGGAGAGAAAGAAUAUAGCUAAGAAGAUGCGCAUACUAAAAAAGCUAAUUUUGUAGAUAAGACAAAUAAUGUUCUGUAGAUGAUUGCUUACAUUUUAGGUGAUGCUACUUUGGUUGAUUUAUAAAAAUGAACAUUUGUUUUAUGUGCAGAUUAAAGCUUCUGAUGCUGCAAAGGUUGAGAAAAUAGAAAUGAGUUUUUGGACUAAUUAUAAUGAUUUAAUGGUUAUUUUUUAUUUGUUUUUUCUUAAUAAUUAUUUUAUCAUCUUAGGCUAGGUCUAUAGAAUGAGAUAUUUUGGCCUGAGUGGGUUGAUUCUUGUUACUUUUUUUUUUUUUUAUAUUAUGAUUCUUGUUACUUGGAAAGUAGAGAAUUUGAGUCUAACAUUGAACAAUUUUAAUUAUGGUUUUCUUUUUUUGUACUAUUUCAUACAUUGUAUAUUCUAAUUGGCAAGUUACUGUAAAAGAUCUACUCAAUUCAAUACAAAUUGCUUUGAUCAAUGUGCUUUUUCAUUUAGAUUAUAAGAUGGAAAUGUGAUUAUGAUGAAUGAUAUUGAUAACUUUAUCACAAUAGUAAACCUUGGAAUAUGGGGUAGUUAGGUUUAUAAAGCUAAGCUGAAUUUUGUUUUGUUUCAGCUUGUGUACAAGGUAGUAUAUAUUGAUAAAAAAUAAAAAUGACAAUUAAUCCCUUGACGUGAUAAUUUUUUUAAUAGUUUUUUUUUUUAAUUUUGAAAACAUGUUACCUGCGGAUUUACUUACGGAAUCAAAUUUCCUUUUGGAAAUUACCUGCAGAUUUACUUAUGGAAUUAAAAUUUCCUUCAGAUUUAGUUAUGAAUUUACCUGCGGAUUUAUCAUAAGAUAGUCGAUCCCUAAAGUAUACUAAUUGCAACGGUUGAGAUAUGGGAACGGUUAGAAACCAUUGCCAUUGGGAAGUGUUAUAGCCGUUCUCUAAGGUUUACCUAAAACAACGGUUAUCCCCUAGGCGUUACUGUUUGGUACCAAAUCCGUUGCAAAAUGCUAAGGCAACGCCUCGAUUGGCCACGACCUGAAAACCGUUCUGGUAACUUAAGGCAACGGAUUUUUCAUUUUUUGCAACGGUUUUUUAGUGUUGCUGUAGGCCAACAAUGUUGUAGUGCUUGGCGAUUCCUAUGAUGGACAGAGAAAUACAUGUCACCAAGUAAAGUCGGAACAGGAUUUCCAAUCAGAAAAAUCUUUAUGGCAUUGAUAUCAACAGAACCAACCCAUAGAUGAGCAAGGCUAGUACAGCUUCAAAAGCUAUCACGCUACCAGUUUCGAUGAAAUCAAAGGCCUUCUUUACCAGGAAGUGUGAAGUUAAACCCGGGAGGUUUCCUUUGGUACUCCAAUUACUCUCUACUUCAGAUUUCUUCAAGUGGAUACUUGUUGCAAUGACAUGUGACUUAGGAAUGGCUUCCAAACCAUUGAAAGGUAUUUUGUCAGACACAGGGAUACCCAAAAGAUUGGCAUAUUCUUCCAAGGUCGGUACCAACUGGUAGUCUGGAAAGGUGAAACAACGGUAGACGGGAUCAUAGAACUGAACCAGAGUUUUGAGAAGUCCUUCAUCAACAUGAGUGUUCAGGAUAGGCAAAAGCUUUCCAUAACUUUUCCUAAAAUUAGAAGGAUUUUGUACAGAAGAUGCUAACUCUAUCAGUUUUCCCACAUCAGGCGCUUUGAAACCGUAUUUCUUGGUAUGCCUUUUUACUUCUUCCAUGACUAAAUCCUAAAAUGUUUGCAAAGAAAAUUUCUCUAAAUCUUUGGAAAAAUCAUGUUUUUAUGGAAAAAAUGGGUUUUUUUUUGAAUGUAUGAAUGCGUGGAUGCAUGAAUGCCACAUAUUCAAACAUGGUAAAACAGACAUGGUAAUGGUAACGCAAACAUGGUACACAAACAUGGUAAUUCAAACAUAGUACACACAGGUUCAAAGGUCCAGCGUCACGAGCAUGAGGUCAGAGAACCAAAUAGGGAUAGAUCUAGUUAAUCACCUGUACAACAUGUUCUACUGAUACGUCAGAGUCUACAUUUUUCUUUCGGAUAUUACCGGCUUUCACAACUAAACUGAUGAGCCAGAAAUAUUCUCAAGAAAAACUCGUCUGAGUGUGGUUCUCCGCAUGACAACUAUCCAAGUCUUCACCUCGAUCGUUUCUGCACCACGUCCUAAUAAGGCCAGGAUGGGUUGGGGUUCUACGGUCUCUCAGCUUCUACAGUUCAAUGCGGCAAUAAUGUCUUCGCUACGAAAGCAUGCUAAACAUAUAUUACCAACAAGGAACCUCCACUGAGCGGAAGGAUUCUCAAGUGCGCCUGCACAUGACUAUACCCUCCACCUAAUUUCUUAUGUGUACUUAAUCCGGGUUAGGAUUUGUCCAUAAUGUAUCACUUGUAACAGAACCACACAAGUAACAGAACCAAAGAAUCACACAUAUAACAAAAAUUAAAAUAAAAACAAUAAUUAGAAAUAACCCUUCCUUUGGAAACAAUAAAAAGAUGGUCCCCAGUGAAGUCGCCAUUUUUCUGUCGCGGGCGAAAAACCGUUUUGUUCCUCUUUUUUGUGGAUGAGACACCUGAUGCCUUCUUUGGGCUCGAGUGCUCAAAAAAAUGAUUUUUCUUUUGUACCGACCAAACUUUUUAUUAUUUCCAAAGGAGGAAAAGGAAAAAAGCUGCAAUAACCUAAAAGUGGGGGGAGAUCUUGGGUAAGAGG